UAGGUAAAAGUUCGCUGGAUGGAACGCUUAGCUGUUAAUUGAGAUUUUGUAGGAUCAAGGCCUGCUUACCUAG
rnacentral:tRNA from 1 species